AUACUUACCUGGCAGGGGAGAUACCAUGAUCACGAAGGUGGUUUUCCCAGGGCGAGGCUUAUCCAUUGCACUCCGGAUGUGCUGACCCCUGCAAUUUCCCCAAAUGUGGGAAACUCGACUGCAUAAUUUGUGGUAGUGGGGGACUGCGUUCGCGCUUUCCCCUG
rnacentral:snRNA from 1 species